UACAGAGGCUGCAAGCGUUAUUCGGAUUCACUGGGCGUAAAGGGUGCGCAGGCGGCCAAGUGUGUGAGGCGUGAAAGCCCGGGGCUUAACCCCGGAAUUGCACCUCAAACUACAUGGCUAGAGCAUUGGAGAGGGUAGCAGAAUUCACGGUGUAGCAGUGAAAUGCGUAGAUAUCGUGAGGAAUACCAGAGGCGAAGGCGGCUACCUGGACAAUUGCUGACGCUCAGGCACGAAAGCGUGGGGAGCAAAAGGG
rnacentral:rRNA from 1 species